UGGUGGAGUGAUUUGUCUGGUUAAUUCCGAUAACGAACGAGACCUUCACGUGCUAAAUAGCCGGACGGGCUGCGGCCCGUCCCGGGCUUCUUAGACGGACUAUCGGUAUCUAGCCGAUGGAAGUUGGAGGCAAUAACA
rnacentral:rRNA from 1 species